CUACGGAGGGGGUUAGCGUUGUUCGGAAUUACUGGGCGUAAAGCGCGCGUAGGCGGAUUGGUAAGUUAGAGGUGAAAUCCCGGGGCUCAACCCCGGAACUGCCUUUGAUACUGCCAGUCUUGAGUUCGAGAGAGGUGAGUGGAAUUCCGAGUGUAGAGGUGAAAUUCGUAGAUAUUCGGAGGAACACCAGUGGCGAAGGCGGCUCACUGGCUCGAUACUGACGCUGAGGUGCGAAAGCGUGGGGAGCAAACAGGAUUAGAAACCCUAGUAGUCC
rnacentral:rRNA from 1 species